UGGCUCAGGUUGUGGCAGGGUCCUUGGCCGAUCCUCUCUACCCUCAGGCCGGCACCGAAUGAACCUGUCGAGCCGAUCUCUUCUGAUGAGCUCCUCGAUCUCAUCUUGGAGUUGAAUGUAUUCCUCCGUGUCGUGAUCGUGAUCACGAUGGUAGAGGCAGAACUUGUUAGGAUUGUGCUUCCCAGGGUGUGUGCGCAUCCUUUCUGGCCUUGGAAG
rnacentral:lncRNA from 1 species